AUUGAACGCUGGCGGCAGGCUUAACACAUGCAAGUCGAGCGGAGUGAUGGUGCUUGCACUAUUACUUAGCGGCGGACGGGUGAGUAAUGCUUAGGAAUCUGCCAUUUAGUGGGGGACAACAUUCCGAAAGGAAUGCUAAUACCGCAUACGUCCUACGGGAGAAAGCAGGGGAUCUUCGGACCUUGCGCUAAAUGAUGAGCCUAAGUCGGAUUAGCUAGUUGGUGGGGUAAAGGCCCAACAAGGCGACGAUCUGUAGCGGGUCGGAGAGGAUGAUCCGCCACGCUGGGACUGAGACACGGCCCAGACUCCUACGGGAGGCAGCAGUGGGGAAUAUUGGACAAUGGGCGGAAGCCUGAUCCAGCCAUGCCGCGUGUGUGAAGAAGGCCUUUUGGUUGUAAAGCACUUUAAGCGAGGAGGAGGCUCUCCUAGUUAAUACCUAGGAAGAGUGGACGUUACUCGCAGAAUAAGCACCGGCUAACUCUGUGCCAGCCGCCGCAGUAACAC
rnacentral:rRNA from 1 species